rnacentral:tRNA from 1 species
UCCCUGGUGGCUUAGUGGUAAAGAAUCUGAUUGCAAUGCAGGAGACCCAGGUUCAAUCCCUGGGUUGGGAA